rnacentral:rRNA from 1 species
CACGUAGGGCGCGAGCGUUGUCCGGAAUUAUUGGGCGUAAAGAGCUCGUAGGCGGCCUGUUGCGUCCGCUGUGAAAGCCCGGGGCUUAACCCCGGGUCUGCAGUGGAUACGGGCAGGCUAGAGGUAGGUAGGGGAGAAUGGAAUUCCCGGUGUAGCGGUGAAAUGCGCAGAUAUCGGGAGGAACACCGGUGGCGAAGGCGGUUCUCUGGGCCUUACCUGACGCUGAGGAGCGAAAGCAUGGGGAGCGAACAGG